CAAAGAAAUGACUAUUGCGUAAUAAGCACAGCUGAUGGAUUACUGGUUUUUGGAGGGUGUUGGCUUCUGCGAAAUUUGGCCCUGCACAGCACAUUCGAGAAUUCACAUCUGUAGUUCAGAAUUUAUUGUAAUAUCAAAUUGAGCAUUUCCUUUGCGGUGACUAACGAAGAGAAAAUAAAACAGACAUCACUGGCGCACCUGUUUGAGUGGCAUAGGUACAGUGGCAACCCUUCACGCUAUGCUCGUGGUAUCGGCAUCACGUCCGUAUCAAUUCUCCUGUUAUCGGUCUGGCCUUGGUCACCGAAGAAAACAUAAAGAAAGUGCCACAGCAGGGAGGAAACAGCUCCACUCAGCCUCGUGUUAUCAGCAUCUGCGUUUCUAGCUGCUGCAGGAUAACCAUCUUGUGCAUUUUAAUGAGGAAGAAGUUUUUAGAAAUGGUGUAAUUAAAGAAAUUCUGAUGUAAUCGUCAAGCAUCUGUCUUCGGCUAUUAAUGUUUUAAUGUCAUCCUUAUUAAAUUUCUAUGAAGCUUCAAAAUAAGAGAAAACUAAUUAUUAUGAUUUUCAUUACAAGCACUAAUAGUGUCGA